UGCCUGUACCAUAACCGACACAGGUGGGUAAGUAGAGUAUACUAAGGGGCGCGAGAUAACUCUCUCUAAGGAACUCGGCAAAAUAACUCCGUAACUUCGGGAGAAGGAGUGCCUUAUUCUUAAGGUUGCAAUAACAAGAUCCAAGCAACUGUUUAUCAAAAACACAGGUCUCCGCUAAGUCGUAAGACGAUGUAUGGGGGCUGACGCCUGCCCAGUGCCAGAAGGUUAAAGAAGUCGGUUAGCAAUAGCAAAGCUGGUAACUGAAGCCCUGGUGAACGGCGGCCGUAACAAUAACGGUCCUAAGGUAGCGAAAUUCCUUGUCGGGUAAGUUCCGACCCGCACGAAAGGCGUAAUGAUUUGGAUGCUGUCUCGGAGAGGGGCUCGGUGAAAUAGACUUGUCUGUGAAGAUGCGGACUACCUGCACCAGGACAGAAAGACCCUAUGAAGCUUUACUGUAACUUGAAAUUGAAAUUGGACUUUAUUCGCGCAGUAUAGGUGGGAGGCGUUGAUUAUAAUCUUGUGGGAUUAUUGGAGCCAUCAGUGAGAUACCACUCUUGUAAUGUUAGAUUUCUAACUUUGAAUCAUUAUCUGGUCAAAGGACAGUUUCAGGCGGGCAGUUUGACUGGGGCGGUCGCCUCCUAAACGGUAACGGAGGCGUACAAAGGUUUCCUCUGAACGGUUAGAAAUCGUAUCUAGAGUGUAAAGGCAUAAGGAAGCUUGACUGUGAGACCUACAAGUCGAGCAGGGACGAAAGUCGGUCUUAGUGAUCUGACGGUACUGAGUGGAAAGGCCGUCACUCAACGGAUAAAAGUUACUCUAGGAUAACAGGCUGAUCUCCCCCAAGAGUUCACAUCGACGGGGAGGUUUGGCACCUCGAUGUCGGCUCAUCGCAUCCUGGGGCGGUAGUACGUCCCAAGGGUUGGGCUGUUCGCCCAUGAAAGCGGUACGCGAGCUGGGUUCAGAACGUCGUGAGACAGUUCGGUCCAUAUCCGGUGUAGGCGCUAGAAUAUUGAGAGGAGCCUUUCUUUAGUACGAGAGGACCGAGAAGGACAUACCUCUGGUGUACCAGUUAUCGUGCCAACGGUAAACGCUGGGUAGCUAUGUAUGGAGUGGAUAACCGCUGAAAGCAUCUAAGUGGGAAGCCCACCUCAAGAUAAGUAUUCUCAUCACGUAAGUGAGUAAGGUCACGGUAAGACUAACCGUUUGAUAGGCAUUAGGUGUAAGUACAGUAAUGUAUGUGCUGAGAUGUCCUAAUAGACCGAGGAC
rnacentral:rRNA from 1 species